rnacentral:lncRNA from 1 species
ACAUCCCCUUCUCAUUGUUCUUUAGCAACCAUCAAAGGGUGCAGCCUGUACCGUUCCCUGCUCGCGGCCUGACAUCCGUUCUCAUUCCCUGCUUCUGUGUCCUGGAGUCUCCCAUCAGAAGUCUCUCACUUCCCACCCGACCUCCCCGUGACCGAUCAAUCCCCAGCCAUCGUUCUCCUGAAGUGGGUUCUCCAUAAAUGCCUUCUGAGUGAACAAAAACUCCUGUCGUUAUUCACUAUCUUACAAGCCCUUUAAAAGAAUGCCACCAACUCCCCUCCUGUCCUGGCCUCAUCAGGAGACACGCAGCCCCACUAUACAGGGCAGGUCAACCAGAAACAGAGCUGUAAAAUCCAGGCAGCCCAGUUCAUCGAGCCACAAAAGCAGCGAACCUUGUUUUUCCUUCCAGCCUCAUAACCCCACCAGCAAGACAGACCACCUUUAACUAGGUCAACCCAAUUUCCCAGUCCUCACUCUGCUCUCACCCCCUUUAUUAUCAUGGUUCUCGGUUGGAGGCACAACAUUUACUGUGCUGAUUUAUGUCUGGAAAAAAAAAAUGGAAAGUUUCAUCAACUCUUGACCGAACUGAACGAGACCUUCCUGUAUGGAAAAGC